UUUAUGGACGUCAUUUCCGCAUGACACGGCACGUCCAGGAACAGCCAACUGGAAAAGAAAUCGAUGUGGAAAAGGCUAAAUCCAUGAUUAUACCUCCACUCCCAUUCCAAAAGGCUGAGUGCCUUUGUAUCGAGGAGGGCAAGGCAAACAGUGGAAGCCCGGGUCUGUGUUGAUGCACAGUUGAGAGUUGAAGCACAGAAUGUUCCAUUGCCACGGAAACCGACAGGGCAGGGCCCGCACUCCCAUGAGCCAUCGGCGGAACUAGUGCAGUCAACACCCCCAAAACAUGGGUU